GCAGGGAGUGGGGUCCUGGCCAGGUGGGACGCCCCUCAGUGAGAUAGACCGUCUCUCUGCUGCGUGCAAGUGGGUGAGACUCACGGUUGAGCAGGGCACAGGAUGAGGGACAGGUCCCCACUGCCCUUCUGGCUCUGACAACUGGUCAGCAGGCAGGGCUUCAGAGAGGCAGCAGUAUGGCCCGCUCCCUGUGAGAAUGACCUCCCAGACAACGGAUGACUGAGUGGACAUCAGGACUCUGACUUGGCUCCAGGUGGCGGGUGGUUGAGCACUGGCUUUCAGCAGGCCCCACAGAAGGGCAGGAGGACCGAGCAGAACAGGACACUCUCCGUGUGAUGCAGCCAUGAGAGCACCCAGAUGUUUGUCUUCCAACCCACCGAGGGCAGCUCUCGGCCUCAGAUGCACAGUAAUUAGACCCACACUCUCUGAGCCCAAGGGGCAAAUAGUGUGGCCAAGCCUCAGUUUCCCCAUCCAUGAGUGGGCACACUGAUCCCCGAGGAAGCCGUGGGCGGGAGGCAGAAACAAUGGCCCUUUUGCCGUCA